rnacentral:rRNA from 1 species
CCUACGUGGAGCUGCAGUGGGGAAUAUUGGACAAUGGGCGAAAGCCUGAUCCAGCCAUGCCGCGUGUGUGAAGAAGGCCUUCGGGUUGUAAAGCACUUUCAGUGGGGAAGAAAGCCUUGGGGCUAAUACCCUCGAGGAAGGACAUCACCCACAGAAGAAGCACCGGCUAACUCCGUGCCAGCAGCCGCGGUAAUACGGAGGGUGCGAGCGUUAAUCGGAAUUACUGGGCGUAAAGCGCGCGUAGGCGGUCUGAUAAGCCGGUUGUGAAAGCCCCGGGCUCAACCUGGGAACGGCAUCCGGAACUGUCAGGCUAGAGUGCAGGAGAGGAAGGUAGAAUUCCCGGUGUAGCGGUGAAAUGCGUAGAGAUCGGGAGGAAUACCAGUGGCGAAGGCGGCCUUCUGGACUGACACUGACGCUGAGGUGCGAAAGCGUGGGUAGCAAACAGGAUUAGAUACCCUGGUAGUC